rnacentral:rRNA from 1 species
CAGCACCUCAAGUGGUCAGGAUGAUUAUUGGGCCUAAAGCAUCCGUAGCCUGCUUUGUUAGUUUUCGGUUAAAUCCAUAUGCUCAACGUAUGGGCUGCCGGGAAUACUGCAAAGCUAGGGAGUGGGAGAGGUAGACGGUACUCGGUAGGAAGGGGUAAAAUCCUUUGAUCUAUUGAUGACCACCUGUGACGAAGGCGGUCUACCAGAACACGUCCGACGGUGAGGGAUGAAAGCUAGGGGAGCAAACCGGAUUAGAUACCCGAGUAGUCC